GACGUAGGGCGCGAGCGUUGUCCGGAUUUAUUGGGCGUAAAGAGCUCGUAGGCGGCUUGUUGCGUCGUCCGUGAAAACCUGUGGCUCAACUACAGGCUUGCGGUCGAUACGGGCGGGCUGGAGUUCGGUAGGGGAGACUGGAAUUCCUGGUGUAGCGGUGAAAUGCGCAGAUAUCAGGAGGAAUACCGAUGGCGAAGGCAGGUCUCUGGGCUGACACUGACGCUCUUGCACGAAAGCGUGGGGAGCAAACAGG
rnacentral:rRNA from 1 species